UCCGGUGUGGUGUAAUGGCUAUCAUACUGCGCUUUCAUCAGGAAGUGCCGCAGGGACCGGGGUUCGAUUCCCCGCAUCGGAG
rnacentral:tRNA from 1 species